AUGCAUCAUAUAGUAAGUAGUUCUACUAACAUGCCAAUAUGUCCACUAACAAUGUCCAAUAAGCAAAUGUUCAAUAAACAAUGCUAUUCUCUUGUUUACUCAAUCCUUGGCGAUCCCUCGGGUUCGCCCACGACUCACCUCGCCAUCCCGUAUGGUAAGGAGACUCACCUCGCUCUCAAACCCGGGACCGUCUGCGGGACAUCAACUCUGCCCCUCUCGCGCCAAACUCCGGAGUGCACGACGACUUGUGUGGCGCGACCACCACAAGUAUAAAUAGACUGUGAGUAUGAUCCAUCCUCUCAACUCGA
rnacentral:lncRNA from 1 species